rnacentral:lncRNA from 1 species
AUGAUAUAAAUAGUCUAAUAUUGUUCAACCCUACCUUUAUAAGAUUGUUUCAGUGGAUCUCUGUAUGUCUUGAAGCCUAGAACUGGAUAGAAAGAAGGAGCCCUCAACCAGAUGAAAAACAAACAACGCUACUUACUGGUUCUUUUCUAUUUUAUCAAAUACUCCCAGGAUCUAUUUUGAUGUGCUCACCAGAAGCUUGCAAAUCC